rnacentral:tRNA from 1 species
GAGGGUGUAGCUCAGUAGUAGAGCGUGUGCUUAGCAGGCACGAGGCCCCGGGUUCAGUCCUCAGCACCUACA